AUCCAGCUGAAGAGUCCUGAACGGGACGAAACGUAAGUCCUAGAU
rnacentral:hammerhead_ribozyme from 1 species